rnacentral:rRNA from 1 species
GACGAACGCUGGCGGCGUGCCUAAUACAUGCAAGUCGAACGCACUCUCGUUUAGAUUGAAGGAGCUUGCUCCUGAUUGAUAAACAUUUGAGUGAGUGGCGGACGGGUGAGUAACACGUGGGUAACCUGCCCUAAAGUGGGGGAUAACAUUUGGAAACAGAUGCUAAUACCGCAUAAAACCUAACACCGCAUGGUGUAGGGUUGAAAGAUGGUUUCGGCUAUCACUUUAGGAUGGACCCGCGGUGCAUUAGUUAGUUGGUGAGGUAAAGGCUCACCAAGACCGUGAUGCAUAGCCGACCUGAGAGGGUAAUCGGCCACACUGGGACUGAGACACGGCCCAGACUCCUACGGGAGGCAGCAGUAGGGAAUCUUCCACAAUGGACGAAAGUCUGAUGGAGCAACGCCGCGUGAGUGAAGAAGGUUUUCGGAUCGUAAAACUCUGUUGUUGGAGAAGAAUGUAUCUGAUAGUAACUGAUCAGGUAGUGACGGUAUCCAACCAGAAAGCCACGGCU